rnacentral:misc_RNA from 1 species
UGAUCCUUCAAGUUUGCCCAAGUACCCACCAACCAAGGAGUUCGAUAUAAAAGUUCGGGAUGACGAUGCAAGAAGGCGUAGAGGUAAAGGGCGUGCACAUGAAACAACUAGAAAGAAUUUUAGAGGAUCUAGAGCUAUUCCAGCACCAGAUGCCAAUGCAGAGUUGCCAGCAUCCAUACAGAAGCGAAAAGGGCAGUCUAAACCUAAAAGCAUCAGUGAACAGUACAAUCCCCAAGAAGAUGGUGGUUCUGCCUUACCUGUUGAGCCUCCUGAAGGAACAGCAAAACAUGUCUACUCCCAUUCAGGGCAGUCCAUGCAUCCUACAAACUUUGGAUCGUCACGUGGUAUGAAUGUUAAUGAAAGUGAGACUCUUGGAGCUCCCAGCCAAGCAUUUGUUUCUCCUAGGAAUACCGAAGAGCCAAGAACUCAGAGAUCUUUCAUUCAUCGGGGAGCAGCCCAUUUGUCCAGAUUUUCUAAUUCUGUUGCAGUUAGAGGCAGUUCACAAUUGGAUAGCAGCUGUGCAACUACAGUGAAUCCACACUGGAAAGAGGAUCGUUUUGAUCCACGAUAUAACCACCUGGAUGAUUCCUCCCACCAUUUACUGAGUAGGCCAAAGUUCUCAAACAAGGAGGGUCGGCCAUCUGGUUUAGAGUCUGCAACGGUAAGGGAAUUUCUGAAAUAGUAUAUGUGUACUUCAAUCUUAUGCUCUUGUUCUCAGCACUGUUCCUGUUUGAUUCAGUUGAAGUUGAAAAAAAGGCCACAAUGGCCCUGACUUCUAAUAUACUUUCUCUUGGAACUGGACUUACAAAUUCAAUUUCAGAUCACAUAUAUAAAAUUCGCAUAACUUCAAACUGUGCAGUUUAAAACCCAACAAUUUUCACAAUUUUUUUAAACAGCACAGCUAUUUGACUUGUGUCUUUUUAUCUGUCUUGCCUUUGAGAUUUUGGAGUUUUAUACUUACCACUUUGCAUUUGCUUGUCACCUCAGGGUUACUUUCAAAAGAAAGGUCAGAUGCAUUACUCCGGACCAUUGAUGACUGCAGGAGGAAACAUUGAUGAGAUGCUCAAACAGCACGAGAAACAAAUCCAGGAAGCUGUCCGCAAAGCACGUUCAGACAAGACCAAGACCAAUACCAAUAAAGCCUACAGUGAAGUUGGACAAACAGAAUCACUACUACACCAUGUAAAAAAUGGUAGGUGACAGUUGGGGUUGAAAGAUGCAUCAUGCAUCCUUUAUUGAAGCACCAGAGCACCAGUGCAGAAAAGCAUAAUUAUCAGGUAUUCCCGUUUGGAAUCUGACAAAUCUCAACACUGCACGAGACUUAACGAUUAUUGAGCUUCUAUGGGGAUCAACCCAUCAGAUAGUUAUCUGUCAUCACAAUGAGGUUCAAGUUAUAAAAAUGCUGUAGAUAAUUCAGAAAUGUGAUUAGUUGGAAAGCCAAUUGAAUCCACCACAGCAAAUUAUUUGACUCCAAAGGGAGAAUCUCUCUUUGCUUUUUGGCAUUGUUCAGUUUGAAAGUUAUAUUUUGUACAGCUGAAAUCUGUAUGUUGUUUUCUUCUUCCAAUAAAUUUUCUCAUUUAGUGUACAACUACAAGGUCACAACAAUCCCAAUUGCUCACUUCACUCAAACCUUUGCUUAAGACAGCUGCACACUCCAAAUACACCAAUGCAGUUUCUUAUUAUUUUUUUUUU